rnacentral:sRNA from 1 species
CCGCUGCCUGGGCGGUCCUACGGGAGAGCCAGGACGGGGUAUAGUCGGACAGUCACCCGUCAUGAAAGAACGCCGACAAGC